GAUGAACGCUGGCGGCGUGCCUAAUACAUGCAAGUCGAGCGAACAGACGAGGAGCUUGCUCCUCUGACGUUAGCGGCGGACGGGUGAGUAACACGUGGAUAACCUACCUAUAAGACUGGGAUAACUUCGGGAAACCGGAGCUAAUACCGGAUAAUAUAUUGAACCGCAUGGUUCAAUAGUGAAAGACGGUUUUGCUGUCACUUAUAGAUGGAUCCGCGCCGCAUUAGCUAGUUGGUAAGGUAACGGCUUACCAAGGCAACGAUGCGUAGCCGACCUGAGAGGGGGAUCGGCCACCCUGGAACUGAGACACGGUCCAGACUCCUACGGGAGGCAGCGGUAGGGAAUCUUCCGCAAUGGGCGAAAGCCUGACGGAGCAACGCCGCGUGAGUGAUGAAGGUCUUCGGAUCGUAAAACUCUGUUAUUAGGGAAGAACAAAUGUGUAAGUAACUAUGCACGUCUUGACGGUACCUAAUCAGAAAGCCACGGCUAACUACGUG
rnacentral:rRNA from 1 species